rnacentral:rRNA from 1 species
GCUCGUAGUUGGAUUUUGGGUGCGGCAGGCCGGGUCCGCCGCUUCGGUGUGCACUGGCAGGCGGCAUCUUUCUGCCGGGGACGCGCUCCUGGUCUUAAUCUGAUCGGGACGCGGAGUCGGGCGCAGUUACUUUGAAAAAAUUAGAGUGUUCAAAGCGGGCCUACGCUUGAAUAUAUUAGCAUGGAAUAACACCAUAGGACUCCUGUCCUAUUCUGUUGGUCUUCGGGAUGGGAGUAAUGAUUAAGAGGAACAGUUGGGGGCAUUCGUAUUUCAUUGUCAGAGGUGAAAUUCUUGGAUUUAUGAAAGACGAACUUCUGCGAAAGCUUUUGCCAAGGAUGUUUUCAUUAAUCAAGAACGAAAGUUGGGGGCUCGAAGAUGAUUUAGAUACCCAUCCUAGUCUCAACCCAUAAACGAUGCCCGACUCAGGGAUUGGCGGGAUGUUUAAUUUUGAUGACUUUCGCCCAGCACUGUAUGAGAAAAUCAAAGUCUUUUGGGGUUCCCGGGGGGGAGUAUGGGUCGCAAAGGCUGAAAACUUUAAAAGAAUUUGACGGGAGGGGCACCACCCAGGAAGUGGAGGCCUGCGGCUUAAUUUGACUCAACCACGGGGAAACUUACCCAGGUCCAGACAUUAGUAAGGAUUGGACCAGAUUGAGAGCUCUUUCCUUGAUUUCUUAUGGGGUGGUGGUGCAUGGCCGUUCUUUAGUUGGUGGAGUGAUUUGUCUGGGCUAAUCCCGUUAACGAACGAGACCUCAGCCUGCUAACUAGUCACGGUCUUUCUGAAAGGCUGGCGGACUUCUUAGAGGGACUAUUGGCGAUUAGCCAAUGGAAGAUUGAGGCAAUAACAGGUCUGUGAUGCCCUUAGAUGAUCU